rnacentral:rRNA from 2 species
UACGGAGGGUGCAAGCGUUGUCCGGAUUUAUUGGGUUUAAAGGGUGCGUAGGCGGCUGAUUAAGUCUGGGGUGAAAGCCCGUUGCUCAACAACGGAACUGCCCUGGAAACUGGUUAGCUUGAGUACAGACGAGGGUGGCGGAAUGGAUACUGUAGCGGUGAAAUGCAUAGAUAGUAUCCAGAACCCCGAUUGCGAAGGCAGCUGCCUAGACUGUAACUGACGCUGAGGCACGAAAGCGUGGGGAGCGAACAGG